CCUACGGGUGGCUGCAGUGGGGAAUUUUGGACAAUGGGGGCAACCCUGAUCCAGCCAUGCCGCGUGAGUGAAGAAGGCCUUCGGGUUGUAAAGCUCUUUCGGCCGGGAAGAAAUCGCUCAAGCUAAUACCUUGGGUGGAUGACGGUACCGGAAGAAGAAGCACCGGCUAACCACGUGCCAGCAGCCGCGGUAAUACGUAGGGUGCUACUGGGCAUCGGAAUUACGGGGCGGAAGGCAUAAGCAGGAUGCGAAAUCCCCGGGCUUAACCUGGGAACUGCGUUUGUGACUGUGGUGCUCGAGUGCGGCAGAGGGGGGUGGAAUUCCACGUGUAGCAGUGAAAUGCGUAGAGAUGUGGAGGAACACCGAUGGCGAAGGCAGCCCCCUGGGUCGACACUGACGCUCAUGCACGAAAGCGUGGGGAGCAAACAGGAUUAGAUACCCUGGUAGUC
rnacentral:rRNA from 1 species